rnacentral:rRNA from 1 species
AAGUCGUAACAAGGUCUCCGUUGGUGAACCAGCGGAGGGAUCAUUAGAGAGUAUUACACUCCCAAACCCAUGUGAACCAUACCUCUCGUUGCCUCGGCGGCUCGCGCCGCCGCAGGCCCGCGAAACUGUUUUAUUUUGGAACUCUGAAUCUUAAAGCAAAUAAGUUAAAACUUUCAACAACGGAUCUCUUGGUUCUGGCAUCGAUGAAGAACGCAGCGAAAUGCGAUAAGUAAUGUGAAUUGCAGAAUUCAGUGAAUCAUCGAAUCUUUGAACGCACAUUGCGCCCAUUAGUAUUCUAGUGGGCAUGCCUGUUCGAGCGUCAUUAAGACCAUCAAGCCUAGCUGCUUGGCGUUGGGAGCCUGCGCGGCGGAAGCCCGCAGCUCCUCAAAAUCAGUGGCGGAGUCGGCGUGCACUCUAGGCGUAGUAACUCAACUCGCUUCAGUGGUCGCGCUGGCGCCCUGCCGUAAAACACCCCAAAUCUCAAAGGUUUGACCUCGGAUCAGGUAGGAAUACCCGCUGAACUUAA